GGCAUUGAGUGUCUGUGGCUUUUCCAGGUGCACAGUGCAAGCUGUUGGUGUAUCCAGGUGUUUUCAUACAUCCUCUGAAAUCUAGGCAGAGGUUCCCAAACCUCAAUUCUCCACUUCUGUGUACCCACACCACAUGGAAUCUGACAAAUCUUGGGACUUGCACCCUCUGAAGCCAUGGCCUGAGCUGUACCUUGCCCCCUUUUAGUCAUGGCUAGAGUGGGUGGGAUGCAAGACACUAAGUUCUUAGGCUGCAAACAGCACGAAGACCCUGGGCCUAGCCCACGAAACCAUUUUUUCCUCCUAGGCCUCCGGGCCUGUGAUGGGAGGGGCUGCCAUGAAGACCUCUGACAUGUCCUGGAGACAUUUUCCCUAAUGUCUUUGGGAUUAACAUUUGGCUUCUUGUUACUUAUGCAAAAUUUUGUAGCAGGCUUGAAUUUCUCUUGAAAUGGGAUUUUCUUCUCUAUCACGUUGUCAGGCUGCAAAUUUUCCAAACUUUUAUGCUCUGCUUCCCUUAUAAUACUGAAUACCUUUAACAGCACCCAAGACUCCUUUUGAAUGCUUUGCUGCUUAGAAAUUUCUUCUGCAAGAUACCCUAAAUCAUCUCUCUCAAGUUUAAAGUACCACAAAUCUCUAGGGCAGGGGCAAAAUGCCAAUAGUUUCUUUGCUAAAAGAUAACAAGAGUUUUGCUCUUUGUAACAAAGUUGUUUGCUCCAGUUUCCAACAAUAUCUCCAUCUGAGAUCACCUCAGCUUGGACCUUAUAGUUCAUAUCAAUCAUCUCCAUCUGAGAUCACCUCAGCUUGAUCCUUAUAGUUCAUAUCACUAUCAGCAUUUUGAUCAAAGCCAUUCAACACAUCUCUAGGAAGUUCCAAACUUUCCCACAUUUUCCUGUCUUCUUCUGAGCCCUCCAAACUGUUCCAACUUCUGCCUGUUAUGCAGUUCCAAAGUCGCUUCCACAUUUUUGGGAAUCUUUUCAGCAGCACCCCACUCUACUCAUACCAUUUUAGCGUAUUAGUCCGUUUUCACACUGUGGAUAAAGACACACCCAAGACUGGGCAAUUUACAAAAGAAAGAGGUUUAUUGGACUUACAGUUCCAAGUGGCUGUGGAGGCCUCACAAUCAUGGUGGAAGGUGAAAGGCAUGUCUCACAUGUUGGCAGAAAAGAGAAGAGAGCUUGUGUAGGGAAACUCCCCUUUUCAAAAAUCAUCAGGUCUCUUGAGAGUUAUUCACUAUCAUGAGAACAGCACAGGAGGGAC
rnacentral:lncRNA from 1 species